GCAGUGGAUAUUAUUGUCUUCUAGUUGUC
rnacentral:piRNA from 1 species